rnacentral:rRNA from 1 species
CCUACGGGUGGCAGCAGUGGGGGAUAUUGCACAAUGGGGGAAACCCUGAUGCAGCGACGCCGCGUGAGCGAUGAAGUAUCUCGGUGUGUAAAGCUCUGUCAGCAGGGAAGAAAAUGACGGUACCUGACUAAGAAGCCCCGGCUAACUACGUGCCAGCAGCCGCGGUAAUACGUAGGGGGCAAGCGUUAUCCGGAUUUACUGGGUGUAAAGGGGGCGUAGACGGCGGUGCAAGUCAGAUGUGAAAGCCCGGGGCUCAACCCCGGGACUGCAUUUGGAACUGUGCGGCUGGAGUGUCGGAGGGGCAGGCGGAAUUCCUGGUGUAGCGGUGAAAUGCGUAGAUAUUAGGAGGAACACCGGUGGCGAAGGCGGCCUGCUGGACGAUGACUGACGUUGAGGCCCGAAAGCGUGGGGAGCAAACAGGAUUAGAUACCCCUGUAGUC